AUUGAACGCUGGCGGCAGGCCUAACACAUGCAAGUCGAGCGGAUGAAGGGAGCUUGCUCCUGGAUUCAGCGGCGGACGGGUGAGUAAUGCCUAGGAAUCUGCCUGGUAGUGGGGGAUAACGUCCGGAAACGGGCGCUAAUACCGCAUACGUCCUGAGGGAGAAAGUGGGGGAUCUUCGGACCUCACGCUAUCAGAUGAGCCUAGGUCGGAUUAGCUAGUUGGUGGGGUAAAGGCCUACCAAGGCGACGAUCCGUAACUGGUCUGAGAGGAUGAUCAGUCACACUGGAACUGAGACACGGUCCAGACUCCUACGGGAGGCAGCAGUGGGGAAUAUUGGACAAUGGGCGAAAGCCUGAUCCAGCCAUGCCGCGUGUGUGAAGAAGGUCUUCGGAUUGUAAAGCACUUUAAGUUGGGAGGAAGGGCAGUAAGUUAAUACCUUGCUGUUUUGACGUUACCAACAGAAUAAGCACCGGCUAACUUCGUGCCAGCAGCCGCGGUAAUACGAAGGGUGCAAGCGUUAAUCGGAAUUACUGGGCGUAAAGCGCGCGUAGGUGGUUCAGCAAGUUGGAUGUGAAAUCCCCGGGCUCAACCUGGGAACUGCAUCCAAAACUACUGAGCUAGAGUACGGUAGAGGGUGGUGGAAUUUCCUGUGUAGCGGUGAAAUGCGUAGAUAUAGGAAGGAACACCAGUGGCGAAGGCGACCACCUGGACUGAUACUGACACUGAGGUGCGAAAGCGUGGGGAGCAAACAGG
rnacentral:rRNA from 1 species